CCUACGGGCGGCUGCAGUGGGGAAUAUUGCACAAUGGAGGAAACCCUGAUGCAGCGACGCCGCGUGAGUGAAGAAGUAUCUCGGUACGUAAAGCUCUAUCAGCAGGGAAGAAAAUGACGGUACCUGACUAAGAAGCCCCCGCUACCUACGUGCCAGCAGCCGCGGUAAUACGUAGGGGGCAGGCGUUAUCCGGAUUUACGGGGGGGAAAGGGGGCGUCGACGGCAGCAAAAGUCUGGAGUGAAAUCCCGGGGCUUAACCCCGGAGCUGCUUUGGCAACUGUGCGGCUGGAGUGCAGGAGGGGUAAGCGGAAUUCCUAGUGUAGCGGUGAAAUGCGUAGAUAUUAGGAGGAACACCGGUGGCGAAGGCGGCUGACUGGACUGUAACUGACGUUGAGGCUCGAAAGCGUGGGGAGCAAACAGGAUUAGAUACCCUAGUAGUC
rnacentral:rRNA from 1 species